rnacentral:sRNA from 1 species
UCGGUGCCAAACUUCAAAACAUGCAUUGUGUUAAUGGAGUGUAUAAAAAGUUACAAAACAUAUCACAUUACAACCCUUAUAUAACCAACAGCAUGUUGGUCCUGUGGUAAAUUUUAGGAUUUUCUAGGUGGAGGUGAUGGGUUUGAGACACGUUGAGAGAUAUCUUUUUUUCCAAAGGAGAUGAAUUUAACCUUUUCGGUCCCGUCUCUUGAAAAUGUAUGGAUUUUGGGCCUGAACUUUCAGAUAUUUUUAAAAAAUAUAGAUAUAUAACCGCUAUAUAU